UACAGGGGGUGCAAACGUUGCUCGGAAUUAUUGGGCGUAAAGCGCGUGUAGGCGGCAUGACAAGUCGGGUGUGAAAGCCCUGGGCUCAACCCGGGAAGUGCACUCGAUACUGUCGUGCUAGAGUCCCGGAGAGGGUGGUGGAACUCUCGGUGUAGAGGUGAAAUUCGUAGAUAUCGAGAAGAACACCGGUGGCGAAGGCGGCCACCUGGACGGUGACUGACGCUGAGACGCGAAAGCGUGGGGAGCAAACAGG
rnacentral:rRNA from 1 species